UACGUAGGGUGCGAAGCGUUAAUCGGAAUUACUGGGCGUAAAGCGUGCGCAGGCGGUUAUGUAGGACAGAUGUGAAAUGCCCGGGCUUAACCUGGAACUGCAUUUGUGACUGCAUGGCUAGAGUUUGGCAGAGGGGGGUAGAAUUCCACGUGUAGCAGUGAAAUGCGUAGAUAUGUGGAGGAACACCGGAUGGCGAAGGCAGCCCCCUGG
rnacentral:rRNA from 1 species